rnacentral:rRNA from 1 species
AUUGAACGCUGGCGGCAUGCCUUACACAUGCAAGUCGAACGGCAGCACGGGUGCUUGCACCUGGUGGCGAGUGGCGAACGGGUGAGUAAUACAUCGGAACAUGUCCUGUAGUGGGGGAUAGCCCGGCGAAAGCCGGAUUAAUACCGCAUACGAUCUACGGAUGAAAGCGGGGGACCUUCGGGCCUCGCGCUAUAGGGUUGGCCGAUGGCUGAUUAGCUAGUUGGUGGGGUAAAGGCCUACCAAGGCGACGAUCAGUAGCUGGUCUGAGAGGACGACCAGCCACACUGGGACUGAGACACGGCCCAGACUCCUACGGGAGGCAGCAGUGGGGAAUUUUGGACAAUGGGCGAAAGCCUGAUCCAGCAAUGCCGCGUGUGUGAAGAAGGCCUUCGGGUUGUAAAGCACUUUUGUCCGGAAAGAAAUACUUGGCCCUAAUACGGUCGGGGGAUGACGGUACCGGAAGAAUAAGCACCGGCUAACUACGUG